rnacentral:rRNA from 1 species
UGGGGAAUUUUGGACAAUGGACGCAAGUCUGAUCCAGCCAUGCCGCGUGCGGGAAGAACGCCUUCGGGUUGUAAACCGCUUUUGUCAGGGAAGAAACGAGUUUCUCUAAUACAGAGACUUAAUGACGGUACCUGAAGAAUAAGCACCGGCUAACUACGUGCCAGCAGCCGCGGUAAUACGUAGGGUGCAAGCGUUAAUCGGAAUUACUGGGCGUAAAGCGUGCGCAGGCGGUUAUGCAAGACAGAGGUGAAAUCCCCGGGCUCAACCUGGGAACUGCCUUUGUGACUGCAUAGCUAGAGUACGGUAGAGGGGGAUGGAAUUCCGCGUGUAGCAGUGAAAUGCGUAGAUAUGCGGAGGAACACCGAUGGCGAAGGCAGCUGGCUACACAUAUAUUGACACUGAGGCACGAAAGCGUGGGGAUCAAACA